UACGUAGGGGGCGAGCGUUGUCCGGAGUUACUGGGCGUAAAGCGCACGCAGGCGGUCUGCUAAGUUUGGAGUGACAGUUGGUGGCUUAACUGCCAAAGUGCUUCGAAAACUGACAGACUUGAGGGCUUCAGAGGGACAUGGAAUUCCGGGUGGAGUGGUGAAAUGCGCAGAUAUCAGGAGGAACACCAAUGGCGAAGGCAGCUCGGUGGGACGUGACUGACGCUGAGACGCGAAAGCGUGGGGAGCAAACAGG
rnacentral:rRNA from 1 species